rnacentral:rRNA from 1 species
CCUACGGGUGGCAGCAGUGAGGAAUAUUGGUCAAUGGGCGCGAGCCUGAACCAGCCAAGUCGCGUGAGGGAGGACGGCCCUACGGGUUGUAAACCUCUUUUGCCGGGGAGCAACGGGCGCCACGUGUGGCGUCACUGAGAGUACCCGGAGAAAAAGCAUCGGCUAACUCCGUGCCAGCAGCCGCGGUAAUACGGAGGAUGCGAGCGUUAUCCGGAUUUAUUGGGUUUAAAGGGUGCGUAGGCGGAUCGUUAAGUCAGUGGUCAAAUUGAGGGGCUCAACCCCUUCCCGCGAUGGAAACUGGCGUUCUUGAGGGGAAGAGAGGUAUGCGGAAUGCGUGGUGUAGCGGUGAAAGGCAGAGAUAGCACGCAGAACCCCGAUUGCGAAGGCAGAAUGCCGGCUUCCGACUGACGCUGAAGCACGAAAGCGUGGGGAUCGAACAGGAUUAGAUACCCUAGUAGUC